rnacentral:rRNA from 1 species
GAGUUUGAUCAUGGCUCAGGAUAAACGCUGGCGGCGCACAUAAGACAUGCAAGUCGAACGGACCAAGCCAAAUAGUUUACUUUUUGGUAAGGUUAGUGGCGGACUGGUGAGUAACACGUAAGCAACCUACCUAACAGAGGGGGACAACAGUUAGAAAUGACUGCUAAUACCGCAUAUGCCAUGAGUAUCGCAUGAUACAAAUGGGAAAGGAGAAAUCCGCUGAUAGAUGGGCUUGCGACUGAUUAGCUAGUUGGUGGGGUAGAGGCCUACCAAGGCGACGAUCAGUAGCCGGACUGAGAGGUUGAACGGCCACAAUGGGACUGAGAUACGGCCCAGACUCCUACGGGAGGCAGCAGUCGGGAAUAUUGCGCAAUGGAGGGAACUCUGACGCAGUGACGCCGCGUGCAGGAAGAAGGUUUUCGGAUUGUAAACUGCUUUAGACAGGGAAGAAAAAAGACAGUACCUGUAGAAUAAGCUCCGGCUAACUACGUGCCAGCAGCCGCGGUAAUACGUAGGGAGCGAGCGUUAUCCGGAUUUAUUGGGUGUAAAGGGUGCGUAGACGGAGAAGCAAGUUGGUUGUGAAAUCCCUCGGCUCAACUGAGGAACUGCAACCAAAACUACUACCCUUGAGUGCUGGAGAGGAAAGUGGAAAUUCCUAGUGUAGCGGUGAAAUGCGUAGAUAUUAGGAGGAACACCAGUGGCGAAGGCGACUUUCUGGACAGUACCUGACGUUGAGGCACGAAAGCGUGGGGAGCAAACAGGAUUAGAUACCCUGGUAGUCCCACGCCGUAAACGACG